rnacentral:lncRNA from 1 species
CGUCCCACAUAUAAAGUAGAGGAAGAGGGGCACGGAUGUUAGCUCAGGGCCAGUCUUCCUCAGCAAAAAGAGGAGGACUGGCAGUAGUUAGCUCAGGGCCAAUCUUAAAAAAAAGUGUUUAAGCCUACACAUGGACAGCCCCCAGGCUGGGAUUCAAAUUUGUGGCUUCCACCCCCAGCUGCUUCUGAUGAGGCAGACUCCAACAGUCUUCUCUGGUUGCUUCUAAUGGACUUUAUUAUUGUCCUGCUCCAACACCACAGUAAAAAGGGACCUGUAAGCUCCAGGUCUGUACCAUGUGUCACCACAGCAAAAACAGGACCCAGUUGAACAUGUUCCCCCCCCACCCCAGACCUACUCACAGGAUAAAUACGUGUUACAAAUUUUUUUUUUAAAGAAAACAGAAUAAAUUAAUAACUUAAGUGAUUAGGCACCAACAGUGAUUUGAAAAAUUAAAUGUCAAUUUUAAAUGGUAACAGGGCAAGAACCUAGGACUGGGCUUCUCCUAGCCCAGUUUUGCUUCCCGACAAAUAGCGACAGUUCUGUGCGAAAUGAUUCUAAAUUUCAAGACACAUGUAACCAACAAACACACAAGAACACACACCACCAAAUAUCACAUGACAGCCUGAAUCUCCAGUGGAGCCCCUCCGCAGGCAGCCUGCUGUGGCCCAGGCCCCAAGAGCUUGGUGAGUCCCAGAAGGAUGGCCCCUGAAGGAGAGGGCUUUGGCGCUCACGUGAUCAGCCUCGCUUCCCCCACAUUUUGCAGAUGAAGGCCCAGAGACGGGAAGGAAGGGCUGAUUUCUCUCCUGUCCUGUUCUUAGCGAGCUCUGUCAGAGGGGUGUGGGUUGGGGGAGGGCUGGUUGGCCAUGGCUUGGGGCUGAGGCCUCAGCCCCAUGGCAGGUCAAGAGGCCAAAGGGCAGACUGGAGUUGAGCCCAUGCUUCAAUCAGUUCAGAACGGUUGUGCUUCUGUCCUAGGAAUGGGGCAUCUUUGAAUGGUUUCAAAGGUAGAAGUUACCAAAAUCAAUCUAGGGAGGGGACUGGGUUAAUUGGCUAAUGCUCUUGGUGCUGCCUGUCAGCCACGGAAGGGGCCUCAGGGACCGUCUAAUCUAACCACCCAUUUCACAGACGGGCAAACCAAGGUCCGAAGGAGACAUCGUCUCCCUGUAGCACUCAGUCCUUUUCUCCUUGUUCCUGCUCUACUUUCCAGGUGGAGCUGGAAUAGGAAGCGGGCUCCUUUGGGGAGCCCCAGGUAGGAUGAGUUCUGGUGUGAGCUGUGCUGGCUGAGAAGACGUCCCCAUUCCGGGGUCUCAGUCCUAGCCAGGCUACCAGGAGAGGUGGACUCUGACCCACUGAGAGGCCAAAGGACCAGUGUUGUACA